UACGUAUGUCACGAGCGUUAUCCGGAUUUAUUGGGCGUAAAGCGCGUCUAGGUGGUUAUGUAAGUCUGAUGUGAAAAUGCAGGGCUCAACUCUGUAUUGCGUUGGAAACUGUAUAACUAGAGUACUGGAGAGGUAAGCGGAACUACAAGUGUAGAGGUGAAAUUCGUAGAUAUUUGUAGGAAUGCCGAUGGGGAAGCCAGCUUACUGGACAGAUACUGACGCUGAAGCGCGAAAGCGUGGGUAGCAAACAGGAUUAGAUACCCCGUGUAGUCC
rnacentral:rRNA from 1 species